rnacentral:rRNA from 1 species
ACCCGCACAAGCGGUGGAUGAUGUGGUUUAAUUCGAUGCAACGCGAAGAACCUUACCCACCUUUGACAUGUACGGAACCCUUUAGAGAUAGAGGGGUGCUCGAAAGAGAGCCGUAACACAGGUGCUGCAUGGCUGUCGUCAGCUCGUGUCGUGAGAUGUUGGGUUAAGUCCCGCAACGAGCGCAACCCUUGUCAUUAGUUGCUACAUUCAGUUGGGCACUCUAAUGAGACUGCCGGUGACAAGCCGGAGGAAGGUGGGGAUGACGUCAAGUCCUCAUGGCCCUUAUAGGUGGGGCUACACACGUCAUACAAUGGCUGGUACAAAGGGUUGCCAACCCGCGAGGGGGAGCCAAUCCCAUAAAGCCAGUCGUAGUCCGGAUCGUAGUCUGCAACUCGACUACGUGAAGUCGGAAUCGCUAGUAAUCGUGGAUCAGAAUGUCACGGUGAAUACGUUCCCGGGUCUU